CCUGGCAACCGUAGGUGACUAUGAGAAGCUGGGUUAUACGCACUUCCACGAUAGACAACUAUGUUGUCAUAAAAUACAGCCAUGACACCCAAUGUGUGAAAUGGUGGUGAAGAAAAUAAGUGGAAGAGCUAUGCUUU
rnacentral:sRNA from 12 species